rnacentral:rRNA from 1 species
GGGAAUCUUCGGCAAUGGGGGGAACCCUGACCGAGCAACGCCGCGUGAGUGAAGAAGGUUUUCGGAUCGUAAAGCUCUGUUGUUAAGGAAGAACGAGUGUGUUAAUGGAAAGUUCAUACUGUGACGGUACUUAACCAGAAAGGGACGGCUAACUACGUGCCAGCAGCCGCGGUAAUACGUAGGUCCCGAGCGUUGUCCGGAUUUAUUUGGCGUAAAGCGAGCGCAGGCGGUUAGAUAAGUCUGAAGUUAAAGGCAGUGGCUCAACCAUUGUAGGCUUUGGAAACUGUUUAACUUGAG